rnacentral:rRNA from 1 species
CAGCAGCCGCGGGAAUACGAAGGGUGCAAGCGUUAAUCGGAAUUACUGGGCGUAAAGCGUGCGUAGGCGGUGAGUUAAGUCUGCUGUGAAAUCCCCGGGCUCAACCUGGGAACUGCAUUUGUGACUGACGGGCUAGAGUAUGGCAGAGGGGGGUAGAAUUCCACGUGUAGCAGUGAAAUGCGUAGAGAUGUGGAGGAAUACCGAUGGCGAAGGCAGCCCCCUGGGCCAAUACUGACGCUCAUGCACGAAAGCGUGGGGAGCAAACAGGAUUAGAUACCCCUGUAGUCCCUGUCUCUUAUAC